AUUGAACGCUGGCGGCAGGCCUAACACAUGCAAGUCGAGCGGUAGAGAGAAGCUUGCUUCUCUUGAGAGCGGCGGACGGGUGAGUAAUGCCUAGGAAUCUGCCUGGUAGUGGGGGAUAACGUUCGGAAACGGACGCUAAUACCGCAUACGUCCUACGGGAGAAAGCAGGGGACCUUCGGGCCUUGCGCUAUCAGAUGAGCCUAGGUCGGAUUAGCUAGUUGGUGGGGUAAUGGCUCACCAAGGCGACGAUCCGUAACUGGUCUGAGAGGAUGAUCAGUCACACUGGAACUGAGACACGGUCCAGACUCCUACGGGAGGCAGCAGUGGGGAAUAUUGGACAAUGGGCGAAAGCCUGAUCCAGCCAUGCCGCGUGUGUGAAGAAGGUCUUCGGAUUGUAAAGCACUUUAAGUUGGGGGGAAGGGCAGUAAAUUAAUACUUUGCUGUUUUGACGUUACCGACAGAAUAAGCACCGGCUAACUCUGUG
rnacentral:rRNA from 1 species